CCUACGGGUGGCAGCAGUGAGGAAUAUUGGUCAAUGGCCGGAAGGCUGAACCAGCCAUGCCGCGUGAAGGUCAGUGCCCUAUGGGCGUUAAACCUCUUUUAUGCGGGGAUAAAGGUGUCCACGUGUGGAUGUUUGCAGGUACCGCAUGAAUAAGGACCGGCUAAUUCCGUGCCAGCAGCCGCGGUAAUACGGAAGGUCCGGGCGUUAUCCGGAUUUAUUGGGUUUAAAGGGAGCGUAGGCCGGUCUUUAAGCGUGCCGUGAACUUUUGUGGCUCAACCAUGAGAGUGCGGCGCGAACUGGAGACCUUGAGUGCGCGGAAGGCAGGCGGAAUUCGUGGUGUAGCGGUGAAAUGCUUAGAUAUCACGAAGAACCCCGAUUGCGAAGGCAGCCUGCCGCAGCGUUACUGACGCUGAAGCUCGAAAGCGCGGGUAUCGAACAGGAUUAGAUACCCUUGUAGUC
rnacentral:rRNA from 1 species